GUCCAGGGAUGGGAAUCGAACUGACAAUGUUCCGCUUACCGGGCAGAUGCCAUGUCCACUAGGCUACCCUGGA